CGGGGGGGCUAAUACAUGCAGUCGAGCGAACAGAUGAGGAGCUUGCUUCUUUGAUGUUAGCGGCGGACGGGUGAGUAACACGUGGGUAACCUACCCUAUAGAUUGGGAUAACUCCGGGAAACCGGGGCUAAUACCGAAUAAUAUCUUUUGCUUCAUGGUGCAAUGCUGAAAGACGGUUUCGGCUGUCGCUUUUGGAUGGGCCCGCGGCGCAUUAGCUAGUUGGUGAGGUAACGGCUUACCAAGGCGACGAUGCGUAGCCGACCUGAGAGGGUGAUCGGCCACACUGGAACUGAGACACGGUCCAGACUCCUACGGGAGGCAGCAGUAGGGAAUCUUCCGCAAUGGGCGAAAGCCUGAUGGAGCAACGCCGCGUGAGUGAUGAAGGUUUUCGGAUCGUAAAACUCUGUUGUUAGGGAAGAACAAAUAUGGUAGUAACUGGAUGARCCUUGACGGUACCUAAUCAGAAAGCCACGGCUAACUACGUGCCAGCAGCCGCGGUAAUACGUAGGUGGCAAGCGUUGUCCGGAAUUAUUGGGCGUAAAGCGCGCGCAGGCGGUUCUUUAAGUCUGAUGUGAAAGCCCACGGCUCAACCGUGGAGGGUCAUUGGAAACUGGGGAACUUGAGUGCAGAAGAGGAAAGUGGAAUUCCAUGUGUAGCGGUGAAAUGCGCAGAGAUAUGGAGGAACACCAGUGGCGAAGGCGGCUCUCUGGUCUGUAACUGACGCUGAUGGGCGAAAGCGUGGGGAUCAAACAGGAUUAGAUACCCUGGUAGUCCACGCCGUAAACGAUGAGUGCUAAGUGUUAGGGGGUUUCCGCCCCUUAGUGCUGCAGCUAACGCAUUAAGCACUCCGCCUGGGGGAGUACGGCCGCAAGGCUGAAACUCAAAGGAAUUGACGGGGGCCCGCACAAGCGGUGGAGCAUGUGGUUUAAUUCGAAGCAACGCGAAGAACCUUACCAGGUCUUGACAUCCCUUUGGACCCCCUUUAAAAAAAAAAAGUUUUCCCCUUCGGGGGCAAAAAGUGACAGGUGGAUGCAUGGUUGUCGUCAGCUCGUGUCGUGAGAUGUUGGGAUUAAGUCCCCGCAACGAGCGCCACCCCUUUGAUCUUUAGUUGCCAUCAUUUAGUUGGGCACCUCUAAGGCUGACUGCGGAUGACGACGGGAAGGCACGGUGGAGAUGGACGUCAAUUCAUCAUGCCCCCCCAUGUG
rnacentral:rRNA from 1 species